ACUCCUACGGGAGGCAGCAGUGGGGAAUAUUGCACAAUGGGCGCAAGCCUGAUGCAGCCAUGCCGCGUGUGUGAAGAAGGCCUUCGGGUUGUAAAGCACUUUCAGUUGUGAGGAAGGUGGUGUCGUUAAUAGCGGCAUCAUUUGACGUUAGCAACAGAAGAAGCACCGGCUAACUCCGUGCCAGCAGCCGCGGUAAUACGGAGGGUGCGAGCGUUAAUCGGAAUUACUGGGCGUAAAGCGCAUGCAGGUGGUUUGUUAAGUCAGAUGUGAAAGCCCGGGGCUCAACCUCGGAACUGCAUUUGAAACUGGCAGACUAGAGUACUGUAGAGGGGGUAGAAUUUCAGGUGUAGCGGUGAAAUGCGUAGAGAUCUGAAGGAAUACCGGUGGCGAAGGCGGCCCCUGGACAGAUACUGACACUCAGAUGCGAAAGCGUGGGAGC
rnacentral:rRNA from 1 species